rnacentral:sRNA from 1 species
ACGCUGCAGGGCUGAAGCGGCGGCUGCGGUGGGGACUGCACGUAGCCCGGCGCUCGGCAUGGCUCUCCUGGUGCUCGCCUGCUUGUAAUAGCAUGAAGAGGAGAGGACUGACGUUAUUGCUGUCCUUGAUUGGCAAAGAGAAGUGAAAGUACCUAAUUCUGCCACAGUCUACCUAAUGAUGCUCUGUGGAUUAUACCCCUGCAUUCUCCAGCCCUUCGGUUAGAAAUUUGGGUCUAUCUAAUUAUAUGAUCUUAGGUCUGGUGAGCUGUGCCUUCUUUCUGGCAGUGAAUGGUCUGUAUUCCUCUAGUGAUGAUGUGAUCGAAUUAACUCCAUCAAAUUUCAACCGAGAAGUUAUUCAGAGUGAUAGUUUGUGGCUUGUAGAAUUCUAUGCUCCAUGGUGUGGUCACUGUCAAAGAUUAACACCAGAAUGGAAGAAAGCAGCAACUGCAUUAAAAGAUGUUGUCAAAGUUGGUGCAGUUGAUGCAGAUAAGCAUCAUUCCCUAGGAGGUCAGUAUGGUGUUCAGGGAUUUCCUACCAUUAAGAUUUUUGGAUCCAACAAAAACA